rnacentral:rRNA from 1 species
AGUGAACGCUGGCGGCGUGCCUAAUACAUGCAAGUCGAACGGAGUGGCGAACGGGUGAGUCAUAUAUAGCUAAUCUGCCCAUUGCUGGAGGACACCAGUUAGAAAUGACUGCUAAUACUCCAUAGCAAGGAAUGAGACUAUAUCGUAUCAGCUAGUCGGUGGGGUAACGGCCUACCGAUGAUAUGACGCGUAACUGGGCUAAGAGGCUGAGCAGUCACAUCGGAACUGAGACACGGUCCAACGUACUACGGGAGUCAGCAGGAGGGACUAUUGCGAAAUGGGGGAAACCCUGACGCAGCAGCGCAGCGUGGAGGAUGACACUUUUCGGAGCGUAAACUCCUUUUGUUAGGGAAGCGGUACCUAACGAAUAAGCACCGGCUAACGCCGUGCCAGCAGCCGCGGUAAUUC